rnacentral:rRNA from 1 species
CCCUUAGAUGUUCUGGGCCGCACGCGCGCUACACUGAUGCAUUCAACGAGUAAUCUUUGACCUUGGUCGACAGAUCUGGGUAAUCUUUUGAAAUUGCAUCGUGAUGGGGCUUGCGGGUUGCAAUUACCCGCACCAACGAGGAAUUCCUAGUAAACGCAAGUCAUCAACUUGCAUUGAUUACGUCCCUGCCCUUUGUACACACCGCCCGUCGCUACUACUGAUUGGAUGUUUAAGCGAGGUUCUCGAACUGCUAGUGACUGAUCUUCGGUGAGGUCGCAGUGUGGGAAGUGAUCCGAGCUUUGGUGUCUAGAGGAAGUAAAAGUCGUAACA